GGCUUCAUUCUUAUCUUUCUUCCCCAUUCAAGCUCGCCGUCUACGCUUAUCUUGAUCUGCAAACCUAAUGAUUUGCAAAUGGAAAGGUCGACAUCGCCGUCUCCGUACCCAACCUCCAACCUUCUCUUUCCCACCUCUUCCAGCGUCCCGAUGCCGUCUCGGAAUCCACUGCUCUGUUUCGGCCAGUUAGACCACAAAACGAUCCAUGGAGGAUGUCCCGGACAUAUCAUGGGGCUGCGAGAUAUAUACAGUCGAGAACGCAACUUCUCUUCAGAGACGGCUCUCCGAUUCAGGCCUCCCCUUGCAGAAAAUGGCUAUCGACAGAGUCGACAUCGGAAAGAGAGAACUCCUCGCGUCUCAGAACCUAAGAAAAGGAGAGCUUCUCUCCUCAUCAGUGACGAUUCUGUGUGGACCAAUGGUGAGGCUGGUGGAUUGAUGAAACGUGAUGAAGUUCCGGAUUGGCCUUUGAUAGCUACUUAUCUUAUAAGUGAAGCGAGUCUUCAGAAAGAUUCUUGAUGGUUUGACUAUAUCUCUGCUCUUCCGAGAGAACCGUACUCGAUUUUAUACUGGACUCAGACAGAACUUGAUAUGUACUUGGAAGCUUCACAGAUUCGAGAAUGGGCAAUCGAAAGAAUCACUAAUGUUGUUGGGACGUGAGAUAUUGUAUUCUCUUUCCUUCUCUCAAAACAGCUAUUUGAUGUGUAGAACUUUGCUUUACUUGAUGCAGCCUCUGGCACUUGUCCUUUAGUGUGUGGGUGUGGUUAGAAGACUGAUGGUUAUGUCCUGCAUCAGACAGCAGAAAUUUUGAAGUUGCAAAUGCACAAAUAUGUACAAGAUAUGAUUCACGGCUUCAUCCUUGCCGGUCUUGCCAGUCACUACUGUCCAUCACUGCAGAAUUCCAUGAUGCAACAGGAAGUUGGAGAAAUCUGGAUUUCCCUCCUGUGGAUUUCCCUCCUGUGCAACAAUCAGGAUUUCCCACGUCACCAGUGUUAUCAGGUUCUGGAUUGAGCUUCCUAUGGAUGAUGGAAAAGAUAGGGCUAUGUUUGUAGUCUUCGAUAAGGAGAUGACAAAGCUGACCAAGCAAGAAGCUGUUGUUCUUGCGCUUGAGGAGAUACCAAACGGUGGAGAUGAGGAGCUACCAAGCUGCCUUGGAGAGCUUGCUAGGAAGGAGUUUUUUUUUCAAAUUCGUGUCACACUUUUCAAUUUCACCAUACCUUCACUGUAUGAUCAACUAUCACUGAAGAUCUCAUCAUUAACAAUCAGGCUAUGGUGGGUUAAUCUUUGUGAUGAUCAGCUUCACUUAUUCUUGAUUUUAUUUAACACCUGCGUAAUUGACUAAUUAUAUCGCUGAAAGUCACCAACAAAUUGCUUCCACUCAGUUAAGGGGAAGGUGGAUUGUCAAGAGCAUCAUCCAGCGAGGCUGUUGUUGCGCCGAAGCUAGGCAUGGGUGGUGACACAGCAACCCCACCAGGGAUUGAGGAAGUGGAGAAAACGUGCAAGAGCCGCCGUUAGUAAAAUGGCCGUGUUAACUCAAUCAGCCCGUCAACUCCACUUUCAUUCUACCGUUUUUAAAAUGACUCUUUGUUUCGAUACCUUGAAGCUUUGUUUUUGUUUUGAAUUUUCUGCAACUAUUUAUCAUUUUGUGUUUGUCUUGAAGCGUUAAUGACGAGAUUAUAAUAUAUUUCAACG